rnacentral:rRNA from 1 species
UACGUAGGACCCAAGCGUUAUCCGGAAUUACUGGGCGUAAAGAGUUGCGUAGGUGGUUAGUAAAGUGAAUAGUGAAACCUGGUGGCUCAACCAUACAGACUAUUAUUCAAACUCACUAACUCGAGAAUGGUAGAGGUAACUGGAAUUUCUAGUGUAGGAGUGAAAUCCGUAGAUAUUAGAAGGAACACCAAUGGCGUAGGCAGGUUACUGGACCAUUUCUGACACUGAGGCACGAAAGCGUGGGGAGCGAACCGG